rnacentral:lncRNA from 1 species
GGGGGGGGGGGGGGGGGGGGGGGGGGGGGGGGGGGGGGGGGGGGGGGGGGGGGGGGGGGGGGGGGGGGGGGGGGGGGGGGGGGGGGGGGGGCUGAGACCCCAGACCCAAAUUAAGACCAGAGCCCCCCCGAUUAUCCUGAGACCCCAGACCCAAAUUAACCCCAGAGCCCUCCCCGAGUGCCCUGAGACCCCAGACCCAAAUACACACCAGAGCCCUCCCCGAUUAUCCUGAGACCCCAGACCCAAAUUAACCCCAGAGCCCUCCACGAGUGCCCUGAGACCCCAGACCCAAAUUAAACCCAGAGCCCUCCCCGAGUGCCCUGAGACCCCAGACCCAAAUUAAACCCAGAGCCCUCCCCGAGUGCCCUGAGACCCCAGACCCAAAUUAAACCCAGAGCCCUCCCCGAGUGCCCUGAGACCCCAGACCCAAAUUAAACCCAGAGCCCUCCCCGAGUGCCCUGAGACCCCAGACCCAAAUUAAACCCAGAGCCCUCCCCGAGUGCCCUGAGACCCCAGACCCAAAUUAAACCCAGAGCCCUCCCCGAGUGCCCUGAGACCCCAGACCCAAAUUAAACCCAGAGCCCUCCCCGAGUGCCCUGAGACCCCAGACCCAAAUUAAACCCAGAGCCCUCCCCGAGUGCCCUGAGACCCCAGACCCAAAUUAAACCCAGAGCCCUCCCCGAGUGCCCUGAGACCCCAGACCCAAAUUAAACCCAGAGCCCUCCCCGAGUGCCCUGAGACCCCAGACCCAAAUUAAACCCAGAGCCCUCCCCGAGUGCCCUGAGACCCCAGACCCAAAUUAAACCCAGAGCCCUCCCCGAGUGCCCUGAGACCCCAGACCCAAAUUAAACCCAGAGCCCUCCCCGAGUGCCCUGAGACCCCAGACCCAAAUUAAACCCAGAGCCCUCCCCGAGUGCCCUGAGACCCCAGACCCAAAUUAAACCCAGAGCCCUCCCCGAGUGCCCUGAGACCCCAGACCCAAAUUAAACCCAGAGCCCUCCCCGAGUGCCCUGAGACCCCAGACCCAAAUUAAACCCAGAGCCCUCCCCGAGUGCCCUGAGACCCCAGACCCAAAUUAAACCCAGAGCCCUCCCCGAGUGCCCUGAGACCCCAGACCCAAAUUAAACCCAGAGCCCUCCCCGAGUGCCCUGAGACCCCAGACCCAAAUUAAACCCAGAGCCCUCCCCGAGUGCCCUGAGACCCCAGACCCAAAUUAAACCCAGUACAGCCAGGCCCUAGUAUUAGGU